rnacentral:rRNA from 1 species
AUGAACGCUGGUGGCGUGCCUAAUACAUGCAAGUCGAGCGAACGGACGAGAAGCUUGCUUCUCUGAUGUUAGCGGCGGACGGGUGAGUAACACGUGGAUAACCUACCUAUAAGACUGGGAUAACUUCGGGAAACCGGAGCUAAUACCGGAUAAUAUUUUGAACCGCAUGGUUCAAAAGUGAAAGACGGUCUUGCUGUCACUUAUAGAUGGAUCCGCGCUGCAUUAGCUAGUUGGUAAGGUAACGGCUCACCAAGGCAACGAUGCAUAGCCGACCUGAGAGGGUGAUCGGCCACACUGGAACUGAGACACGGUCCAGACUCCUACGGGAGGCAGCAGUAGGGAAUCUUCCGCAAUGGGCGAAAGCCUGACGGAGCAACGCCGCGUGAGUGAUGAAGGUCUUCGGAUCGUAAAACUCUGUUAUUAGGGAAGAACAUAUGUGUAAGUAACUGUGCACAUCUUGACGGUACCUAAUCAGAAAGCCACGGCUAACUACGUG